AGAUCUAAUAUUAGACUACUACAUCAUGAUUAAUGAUAUGAAAAAUAUGCACUUUAGAUCUGAAAAUAAAAAUAUAUUGAUCUCAUCGAUGCUAAAAUUCUAGAUCUAACUAUUAGAUCUAACAUUGCAAUCAGGAUAAAAUAGAAAUCAUUACCAAACAACUUUGAUAUUAAUUUUUUCUGAUCCAAUGGUUGGAGAAGGUAUUUCUCAAAUCACUUGCAGCCAUACGAAGUCAUCUAGCCUCUAUAAAAAUAUCCACACGAAGACUGGCGUAGAUUAGGAACUUGGAGGUGCUAGUCUGCAAGCAACUUUGAUGGCUGAUCUCUUCCUUUUUCUUCAAGCACCAUGGAUAUUUCAAAGGAUGAAGGGAUCUGGAGGAGGAAGAGAGAGGGAGGAGAAGAGCUACUAAAAAAAAUAAAAACUAGACAAGAGAAGGGAUGUGUUGGGUGGAUGUCUGGCCAGGACACUGCCUCCUAAGAUCUUUUCAGUACCACGCGAUG
rnacentral:lncRNA from 1 species